UACGGGGGGGGCAAGCGUGUUUCGGAAUUACUGGGCGUAAAGGGGCGCGUAGGCUGCUCGUUAAGUCGGGUGUGAAAACUCUGGGCUCAACCCAGAGUCCUGCAUUCGAAACUGACGAGCUAGAGUUCUGGAGGGGAAAGCGGAAUUCCUGGUGUAGCGGUGGAAUGCGCAGAUAUCAGGAGGAACACCGAUGGCGAAGGCAGGUCACUGGGGCCGCAA
rnacentral:rRNA from 1 species